rnacentral:rRNA from 1 species
GACGAACGCUGGCGGCGUGCCUAACACAUGCAAGUCGAGCGAGUGAAUCUCCUUCGGGAGUGAAGCUAGCGGCGGACGGGUGAGUAACACGUGGGCAACCUGCCUCAUAGAGGGGAAUAGCCUUCCGAAAGGAAGAUUAAUACCGCAUAAGAUUGCAGCUUCGCAUGAAGUAGCAAUUAAAGGAGCAAUCCGCUAUGAGAUGGGCCCGCGGCGCAUUAGCUAGUUGGUGAGGUAACGGCUCACCAAGGCGACGAUGCGUAGCCGACCUGAGAGGGUGAUCGGCCACAUUGGGACUGAGACACGGCCCAGACUCCUACGGGAGGCAGCAGUGGGGAAUAUUGCACAAUGGGGGAAACCCGUGAUGCAGCAACGCCGCGUGAGUGAUGACGG